CACGUAGGGCGCGAGCGUUGUCCGGAAUUAUUGGGCGUAAAGAGCUCGUAGGCGGCCUGUUGCGUCCGCUGUGAAAAACCCGCAGCUCAACUGUGGGCUUGCAGCUGAUACGGGCAGGCUUGAGUUCGGUAGGGGAGACUGGAAUUCCUGGUGUAGCGGUGAAAUGCGCAGAUAUCAGGAGGAACACCGGUGGCGAAGGCGGGUCUCUGGGCCGAUACUGACGCUGAGGAGCGAAAGCGUGGGGAGCGAACAGG
rnacentral:rRNA from 1 species